UCAGUCUGCAUUCAUAUCUCUGCCUCUCUUCUGGAGACAGAGGACAGAGCGGAUAAUAAUCUGUUGAGAAGAAACAGGAAUAUUUGGGAAAAAUGGUCAGUUUCUGCCAAAUACGUUUAGCAGUGUUUCAAAACUCCAUGCAACAAUGGGACUUCCAAACAGAAAACAAAAGCUUGAAUACCUGUCUGAACUUCCACAAGAUUUUGAGGAUUUGGAAUAAAAUUACGGAUUCAUGCCUGAGUCAUUUUUUAUUUUUCACAGAAGAUAACCCCAGGUCUUGGAAAAGUUAUAGAUGGCCUGGUAUGCACUGCACUGGAAUGACCUUGAGAAUCUCUUGGCUCUUCCCUUCUCAACAAACAUAG
rnacentral:lncRNA from 1 species